rnacentral:rRNA from 1 species
AGUGAACGCUGGCGGUAGGCCUAACACAUGCAAGUCGAACGGCAGCACAGGAGAGCUUGCUCUCUGGGUGGCGAGUGGCGGACGGGUGAGGAAUACAUCGGAAUCUACUUUUUCGUGGGGGAUAACGUAGGGAAACUUACGCUAAUACCGCAUACGACCUACGGGUGAAAGCAGGGGAUCUUCGGACCUUGCGCGAUUGAAUGAGCCGAUGUCGGAUUAGCUAGUUGGCGGGGUAACGGCCCACCAAGGCGACGAUCCGUAGCUGGUCUGAGAGGAUGAUCGGCCACACUGGCACUGAGACACGGUCCAGACUCCUACGGGAGGCAUCAGUGGGGAUUAUUGGACAAUGGGCGCAAGCCUGAUCCAGCCAUACAGCGUGGGUGAAGAAGGCCUUCGGGUUGUAAAGCCCUUUUGUUGGGAAAGAAAUCCAGCUGGCUAAUACCCGGUUGGGAUGACGGUACCCAAAGAAUAAGCACCGGCUAACUUCGUGCCAGCCGCCGCAGUAAGAC